CGUGCGUUCCUCUUCGGCCUCGUGGUUGCGAUGGAUGGCUGAACCAGCGGCGACCCACGAUCUACUACUGGUUGUUCCUCCCCUGCAUCUUGCACUUCGGCUUCUUGACUAGUUGGCUGCUGUUGUAUCGUAUCACAGGAUGUUCUACUGUAUAACUUCUUUGGCUCCUCACCACUGAGUAACCAAUGGAGAGUUGUCUACGGAUUCUUGAAUGAAAAAAAUCUUCUGUCUGGAGAUUCUGGAAAGUCCUUCCCGAGUUUUAGCCUGUCAAAACACAAUCUCCUAUGCUCUAAACUGAAGCAACUAUAUGUGGUGAUUACUCGAACAAGGCAAAGAUUGUGGAUUUGUGAAAAUGAUGUUGAGGUUUCCAAGCCAAUGCUUGAUUAUUGGAGGAAGCUGUCUCUUGUCCAAGUGAAGAAAGUAGAUGAUUCUCUUGCUGAGGCCAUACAGAGGAACUGAAGAAACUCUUUUGGGAGAAGAACUAUGAGAUGGCAACAAUGUGCUGGGAGAAAAUGGCUAAAGCCACUGGUCUUCGAGCUGUUGCUGAUAGUCUACGCGGUUCAAAAUCUGAAGAGGCAGCUACAGUGCUUCGAGAGGCUGCAGAAAUAUUUGAUGCAAUCGACAAAGUUAAAUCUGCAGCUGAAUGUUUCUAUGAACUGGGGGAGUUUGAAAGAGCAGGCAGAUUAACAUUCAAACUGUGCAUGUUGAUCUUUUUUAAAAAUUUUAAUUCUUGAUUUUGAUUAUUGAAAUUAUUUUUGGUUCAAGGUCAUACAAUCUGCUUUCUAUUAGUUCAAUUCUAUAUAAAAGUAGUUUGCAUUGUUUUACUAUAGCAAACCAAAAUGAAAUACCUAUUUUACCACUUGGAGUACGGAACUAGGAUUUCCGUACAAAGUAUUGUACUGCGCGAAGAUAUAUUGCUAUCUGUUUAGUGUGAUACAUAUUUGCAUAUUCAUCCAUGCAGGAAGGAUUUAUCAGGACAAAUAUGAUAAGUCAGAACUAAGAAAAGCUGGUGAAUGCUUCUCAUUAGCUGGAAAACAUGAACUUGCGGCAGAAGUUUACGAGAGUGGGAAGUUUUUUAAGGGACUGCUUAUCAGCUUGCUCUAGGGGGAAUCAUUUUGAUCUCGGCUUGCAGUAUAUUGAGAAAUGGAAGCAGGAUGCGCUGUCAAACGACAUAAUAAUGGUUAGAUUGACAGAAUCGUGCAGGAGUAUUUGAAAAAUUGUGCUUUAGAGUGCCACAAGGCAAAGGAUUCUUCGCUGAUGAAGUAUGUUCGAGCUUUUUGUUCCACAGAAUCGAAACGCAACUUUUUAAAGUCAUUGGAUUGCAUUGAAGAUCUUUUAGUUUUGGAAGAAGAGUUAGGAAACUUCAAUGAGGCUUCUGCGAUUGCGAAGACUCUGGGACAUACCCUGCGUGAGGUUGAACUUCUGGAAAAAGCGGGAGAAUUUAGUAAAGCUUGUUCAUUCCUAUGCUAGUUCUUGUGUUCUGUGGGGAUCUGGAAAUCGAGGGUGGCCGUUAAAAUCAUUUCCUCAGAAAGUGGAACCGAAUGAAGUCAGUUUCAUUAAGGGUUUCUGGAACCUAUCAUGCAUUAAUUUGUGCACAGUCCGACUUUUUGUCUUAUGAUAACAAGAAUUUUACAAUGCUUCAAAGCAAUAUGAAACUCCAAUCAUUGAAAUUCUUGUUGUUCGAAAACUUCUAGACAUACAUUUUCAAGUGAAUGCUACCAAGUAUGAGUGGGACUGUGAAUUUCAGUUGGAUCCAAGGUUGUUUUCUCAGAGAAUAGGGAUGAACCAAGUCUCUGGUGGAUCACUUGUUUACCUUUGGAACUUGGUGAAGGUACAUAGUUUAGAGAUAUUAGAAUGUCUCAAAAGCAUUGAAAAGCAAGAUUCCAUCGAACUACAAGGUGUGCUGGCUUAUGUUUUUAUUACUUUGGAUUGAGGUUAGUUGAUAAUUCCAGUUUUACCUUUCGCUUGCUGAACCCUGACGCUUCUUGGUUAAAAACUGUUGAUGGCUUCAUUCGCUAGAACAAGAAUGUGGCAACUUUAGAAGCUCGUCAUUUUGCAUCUGCAGCUCGUAAAUUCUGGCUACAAGAAUUAGUUGUUGUUGGACUGAAAGUAUUGGAAGCUCUUCAACGACUUUAUAACUCUUCCAUGAUGAAGCACAUGUGAGUGCACUGCAAAAGUAUGUAUCUGCUAUACAUUUUUGACAUUGCAAAGUUCUUCCUGGAUUCCAAGUUAUUUAAUUUGAGCUUUGGAGAUAGCAAGAAGCUGCAGAGUUUUGUGGACCAAUGCACUGAAUACUUCGAGUUUCAUUUUCCUUUGGACACCCGAGGAUCUUUAUCAGAAAACAUGAUAUCUUUGAGAGAAACUGAACUCUCCAGGAGUUUACUCGAAGAAAGUGUUAUCAGAAAUAUUGAUGCAAAGGGGGAACUUACUAGUGGGCAGAUUGGACGGGCAGUGAUGACAAUGCUGGGUAAUGAUAAAAUUUCUGAAAGGCUUUCAAACGGAACGCCAUGGAAGUUAUUCAUCGAGAUUCUCAGGGGACUUACCGAGUCAGACAGAUUCUACAAAGGAAGCGAAAUCUGGUGAGUCUAUUGGAAAUGUGUCAAAUUCACAAUGUGUGCAAGAAUCUUCACUUAGAUGCUCAAGGGAAGCUAUGGGGCAAGCACUGCUUAAAGCUUUGGAAGAAACUUAUAACAUG